rnacentral:rRNA from 1 species
UAACUGGUCUGAGAGGAUGAUCAGUCACACUGGAACUGAGACACGGUCCAGACUCCUACGGGAGGCAGCAGUAGGGAAUAUUGCUCAAUGGGGGAAACCCUGAAGCAGCAACGCCGCGUGGAGGAUGACACUUUUCGGAGCGUAAACUCCUUUUGUUAGGGAAGAACAAUGACGGUACCUAACGAAUAAGCACCGGCUAACUCCGUGCCAGCAGCCGCGGUAAUACGGAGGGUGCAAGCGUUACUCGGAAUCACUGGGCGUAAAGGACGCGUAGGCGGAUUAUCAAGUCUCUUGUGAAAUCCUAUGGCUUAACCAUAGAACUGCUUGGGAAACUGAUAAUCUAGAGUGAGGGAGAGGCAGAUGGAAUUGGUGGUGUAGGGGUAAAAUCCGUAGAGAUCACCAGGAAUACCCAUUGCGAAGGCGAUCUGCUGGAACUCAACUGACGCUAAUGCGUGAAAGCGUGGGGAGCAAACAGGAUUAGAUACCCUGGUAGUCCACGCCCUAAACGAUGUAUACUAGUUGUUGCUAAGCUAGUCUUGGCAGUAAUGCACCUAACGGAUUAAGUAUACCGCCUGGGGAGUACGGUCGCAAGAUUAAAACUCAAAGGAAUAGACGGGGACCCGCACAAGCGGUGGAGCAUGUGGUUUAAUUCGAAGAUACGCGAAGAACCUUACCCGGACUUGAUAUCUAACAAAUCAUCUAGAGAUAGAAGAGUGUCUGCUUGCAGAAAUGUUAAGACAGGUGCUGCACGGCUGUCGUCAGCUCGUGUCGUGAGAUGUUGGGUUAAGUCCCGCAACGAGCGCAACCCACGUCAUUAGUUGCUAACAGUUCGGCUGAGCACUCUAAUGAGACUGCCUUCGUAAGGAGGAGGAAGGUGUGGACGACGUCAAGUCAUCAUGGCCCUUAUGUCCGGGGCGACACACGUGCUACAAUGGCAUAUACAAUGAGAAGCAAUAUCGCGAGAUGGAGCAAAUCUAUAAAAUAUGUCCCAGUUCGGAUUGGAGUCUGCAACUCGACUCCAUGAAGCCGGAAUCGCUAGUAAUCGUAGAUCAGCCAUGCUACGGUGAAUACGUUCCCGGGUCUUGUACUCACCGCCCGUCACACCAUGGGAGUUGAUUUCACUCGAAGCCGGAAUACUAAAUUAGUUACCGUCCACAGUGGAAUCAGCGACUGGGGUGAAGUCGUAACAAGGUAACCGUAGGAGAACCUGCGGUUG